GGCUUGAGCUACAAAGCAAUCUGCAGAUAGCUGCUACCUGUGCUGGGCAUGGAGGUACCCAGGAGAGGCCACGCAGCUAAACAAAGCCAGCUGCCACUUAAUGCUGGGCCUGGGGCCAUUAGCCAGAGGUACGGAGUACUGGGGUACACAGAAGCCAGAUCUGCUUGUUUGAGGCAUUUUAGGAAAGUCCAAUGCCUGAGACCAGAUAGGCCAUAUGUAUAGAAAAGCCACUGGAAACAGCUUGGGUGGGCCCACAAGUUAGGUGAGGUGGAGUCUCAAGGAAUCACCAGGGUAGGGCUAAUAGUGAGGUUGAUAGAGUCUUGUAUUUGACACCCCCCUGCCAGUUCUAUGGGGAAUGGGCUCAGCAAAGGAACAAUAACCUCUGCCAGCACUCCUGUCUGGGGGAAAGCUGCCCCUCCAACCUUCACCCCAAAGCCAGACAAUUCAGUUCCUCCCCUUAUGUUCCUGGUGCCUUUCAAGCUGCUACCCCAGUGCUGGAGCUGACUAAGUCUGAGUAAGCUGGUGUGCAGUUCUUUUAAGAGGAAUGCCUGGAACUCCAGAAGCCCUCCAACUCACUCACCUCAAUUCCCACAGGUUUUCACAGUUAGAAGUUAUGGGGGCUUCUCAUCCCAGCACUGGAACCCUGGGCUGGGGCUUCUGAUGUGGGGCUGGGACUCCUACUUCCUUAAUGAGGUCCUCCACAGCUGAAAUAUUCCUCCCAAUUUUUAAUUGCCACAAAUGGGUAUGGGACCAGCCCAUUCCUUGUCUCUGGCACUCCUACCAGUCUCGAUGUGACUUCUUUAUAUCCUUAGUUUUAGGACUUCCAUUCAGCUAGAUUUCAGGCAGUUAUGAAAGAUGGUUGUUGUGUAACUUAGUUGUAAUUUUGAUGUGGUUGUGGGAGGUUCUGAGUACUGUGUUUACCUAUACUGCCAUCUUGACUGCAACCUCAAUGUAGACAAGCUUAAACCAACAUUUCUCCCUUAUCAAGGUAACAUUUCUCUACAGUUAAUGACUGGGGAUUUACAUAUUUGUUACAAAGUCAUUAUGUAAAAAAAAAUCUUCAGUUCUUUUGGGUUGGGGGUAUUGAGUUGACAGAGGCUUUCUUUGCAACCAAUUCACUUAUGUGUGGACUCUAAGACACAUGCUGGUGUUCAUUCAGAAUGCAAAGCAAGACAACAUGGAUGCCUACAAAGAUAGUCUUUAAAACUCUGCCUAUGUGUUGCCAGGCAUCUGUUUCUAGUUAAAGUGUUUCACUGUGAUGGCCGUUAAAUGAUCACAGUUCUACCCACUCAAACACACACUUUUUUUUAAAAUAAAUAAAAUUUGGGAUAUCUUUCAUUCUUUGCUUCCAACACUGUACACACAGCUGGUUCAAGGACUGGCAACAGCAUAUGUUCCUGAACAGUAAGUUUCAGGACCAGUCCAAGGUUACCCACAGACUUUGCUGACAGUGCCUGAAAAUUACAGUGUAUUCCAAGAACACAAGAAGAAUGAUCUUUGUUUUAGGAUGAACUCACAUCCCCUUGAAUGUCUGCUGUUGUUUAUUAAAUUGCAGAUAUUCAUUAACUUUCCCCUGAACCUGUCUUACCCAGAAAGCAUUAAGGCCUCAUAAUGAAAGUGGCUCUCAAGCUGCACUUCUGUUCUUGCCAGGACUCCACCCUGACCCACUUGGACUUGUAAUGCUAUCCUUUCUUUAGCACCAGGAGAGGACCCAGUUCUCCACUGCUCUCAUCCUGGGCAGAAACAGGUCUAAGGUUGGGAAGGGUGCCAAGAGGGAUCUUUUCACUGGUUUCUGUUCCCUGUCAUUUGUGGGGGAAAAAGAAACACCUAACAAUCACAAAGUGUUAGGCAGAUGUAAAAGAGAUCCAAUUAAUCAUAAAUACUAUUUUGAAGUUGUAUUUGCACAGUCAUUUUGAAAGUGGAUAACACUAAUAAUAUUUUUUUCUUUUAGGUUUUUUAAAGUAUGUUUUAU